GGUGGCACCGUCUAUGUAAUUGCAAAAGGGAAAUGGAAUUUAACAACCCAAGCGCAGAAAUCAUUCAAAAAGAAGCAAAUGCCCAACUGACAACAAUUCUCAGGUAGUGAGAGCAAAGCAAUCGAAAAUUACAAACAGAUCCAAAAAUUAUGGUCACCGACAUUAAAAUCCAAGAAAGCAUAAAAAUCGAUAGGCCAGCAAUAAAUGGAUAAAUUAGAAAACCACAAGCAAGCAUGUGGGCAUAUAGAAAGAGAAUGAUGAAUACAGUGGAAUUGAGCUUGC
rnacentral:misc_RNA from 1 species